CCUACGGGUGGCAGCAGUGAGGAAUAUUGGUCAAUGGCCGGAAGGCUGAACCAGCCAAGCCGCGUGAAGGACGAAGGUGCCAAGCAUUGUAAACUUCUUUUGUCAAGGGACAAAAUCAGGCUCGAGAGCCUGACCGAGGGUACUUGAAGAAAAAGCAUCGGCUAACUCCGUGCCAGCAGCCGCGGUAAUACGGAGGAUGCGAGCGUUAUCCGGAUUUAUUGGGUUUAAAGGGUGCUGAGGCGGGCUGUUAAGUCAGCGGGAAAAGCCCGGGGCUCAACCCCGGCGAGCCGUUGAAACUGGCUGUCUAGAGAUGUCGAGAAGUAGGCGGAAUGCGUGGUGUAGCGGUGAAAUGCAUAGAUAUCACGCAGAACUCCGAUUGCGAAGGCAGCAUACCGGCGCCCGACUGACGCUGAGGCACGAAAGCGUGGGGAUCGAACAGGAUUAGAUACCCGUGUAGUC
rnacentral:rRNA from 1 species